rnacentral:rRNA from 1 species
GACGAACGCUGGCGGCGUGCUUAACACAUGCCAGUCGAACGGAAAGGCCCUGCUUUUGUGGGGUGCUCGAGUGGCGAACGGGUGAGUAACACGUGAGUAACCUGCCCUUGACUUUGGGAUAACUUCAGGAAACUGGGGCUAAUACCGGAUAGGAGCUCCUGCUGCAUGGUGGGGGUUGGAAAGUUUCGGCGGUUGGGGAUGGACUCGCGGCUUAUCAGCUUGUUGGUGGGGUAGUGGCUUACCAAGGCUUUGACGGGUAGCCGGCCUGAGAGGGUGACCGGCGACAUUGGGACUGAGAGACGGCCCAGACGCCUACGGGAGGCAGCAGUGGGGAAUAUUGCACAAUGGGCGGAAGCCUGAUGCAGCAACGCCGCGUGCGGGAUGACGGCCUUCGGGUUGUAAACCGCUUUCGCCUGUGACGAAGCGGGAGUGACGGUAAUGGGUAAAGAAGCACCGGCUAACUACGUG